AUGAAAAUUAUUUAAGAGUCACAACAACAAAAAGUCGCAUGGAUCAGCUCCGUAUGCUAGCAAAUAUCUAUUGAUAUUGGCAUAUUCCAGAUGCCCAGUCGCUGGCUAAGCGAACAGUUUCAACAUUUAUUGUGAUUGUGAAAGCCGUUGAAAGAAAUCGAGUUGUUUUUUUUCUGCAAUUUUUUUGGUGGAUUUUUUUUUCAAAGAACGAAAGAGAAAGAGUGUUUCUCAGAGAGAAAGAGAGAGAGAUAUAUAUAAAAACUCAUACUCAAGAAAUAAGUGAAUGUUAAAUAAGUGCUAGAACUAAGUGUGAGUGCAUGUGAAGAAGAGGAAGAGUAACGGAAAAGGGGUCGUCGGGAAGCUGGCCAGCUAGUGCAGCACUGUGCAGGGCGCGAAAUGAUGCCGCAAUAUCGACUUGACCUGCACACUGACGUCAGCCGAGCAACACCCAGCCACGCCUGCCCACCACUGCCAUACAACACAACCUCUGCCUCAGCCACAGCCAUAGCCACAGCCACAGCCUCAGCGUCAGCCGCAGCAACUGCAACAGCAACAGCAA